rnacentral:sRNA from 1 species
UACGGAAGACUGCUGCAACGAUC